CGAUGUUUGGGUAUUGGCCAAACAUGGUUGCAACGGGUAACGGAGGGUUAGGGCUCGACCCCGGAGAAGGAGCCUGAGAAACGGCUACUACAUCCAAGGAAGGCAGCAGGCGCGCAAAUUACCCAAUCCCGACACGGGGAGGUAGUGACAAUAAAUACUGAUACAGGGCUCUUUUGGGUCUUGUAAUUGGAAUGAGUACAAUUUAAAUCCCUUAACGAGGAACAAUUGGAGGGCAAGUCUGGUGCCAGCAGCCGCGGUAAUUCCAGCUCCAAUAGCGUAUAUUAAAGUUGUUGUGGUUAAAAAGCUCGUAGUUGAACCUUGGGCCUGGCCGUCCGGUCCGCCUCACCGCGUGUACUGGCUCGGCCGGGCCUUUCCCUCUGUGGAACCCCAUGCCCUUCACUGGGCGUGGCGGGGAAACAGGACUUUUACUGUGAAAAAAUUAGAGUGCUCCAGGCAGGCCUAUGCUCGAAUACAUUAGCAUGGAAUAAUAGAAUAGGACGUGUGGUUCUAUUUUGUUGGUUUCUAGGACCGCCGUAAUGAUUAAUAGGGACAGUCGGGGGCAUCAGUAUUCAAUUGUCAGAGGUGAAAUUCUUGGAUUUAUUGAAGACUAACUACUGCGAAAGCAUUUGCCAAGGAUGUUUUCAUUAAUCAGGAACGAAAGUUAGGGGAUCGAAGACGAUCAGAUACCGUCGUAGUCUUAACCAUAAACUAUGCCGACUAGGGAUCGUUUCGGUGUUAUUUUUUGACCCGUUCGGCACCUUACGAG
rnacentral:rRNA from 1 species